AGCCCAAGUCCUGCCUGUCGGUCGCCGCGCGGGCCUCCGGCUGAGAAGAGACCCUCCGAGGACUUCAGCCAAGAGCUUACACCUGCCUUCCUGACAGCAGAGCUCCUCGGGGGAAGGCUCUUGGCAGUUCUGUGUUUGAUAGAAAAAGAUAUGCUAACCUGUCUUGACAGAAACUGCGGUUCCUGGAGAUAUGAAUGUAACUUUACUGAGGUUUUUCUGGAGCGUAUUUUCUGUCUGAGUAACUGGCAGAGGGCUCCUGAGGCCUGUAGUGUAAUGCUACUGAUGUGUGGAAAAGUACUUUUUCCAGGUUAAAAAAAACACACAAAGUUUCAGUGUGUUUCUGACUGGCUUGAGAACAGGCUGUGUAGUUCCCAGGUACUUAUAAGUUACAUUCCAAGUGAGAUGUAACAGAAAUGAACAGCUUUGCUAAGUAAAUAAAAUUCUAUGAUUACGCUA